UUGUCCAAGAUGGAGGGCGCCCUUUCGGCGCCGCUGCCCGUCCGGCUGUUGCUGUUUGUGGCGCUGCCAGCCGCGGGGUGGCUGACCACCAACGCGCCCAGGCCUCUGUCCACAGUCCCGCAGGUAGGGCCGGGCGGGCGCAGCAGGCCGCUCCUCUGCCGGGACCUCCGGGAGGCCGGUCGCGGUGACGCUGACCUCUCCCGCAGGUGGACAGCCGGGGGUGCGGGACUGGACAGGGUCUGGCGGCCCGCUGAGAAGGGAGGGCGCUUUCCCGGAUGCCGGGCAGUGUGGGUCCCCCCGCUCCCCGAAGGGGAACGCAAGGAAGGCGCGCAGGCGUCCUUGAAUGCGUGUCAAGACUGCGCCUACCGAACUUGAGGUUCGUACACCUCCGGAACCC
rnacentral:lncRNA from 1 species